rnacentral:lncRNA from 1 species
UGAUGAUAAUAUUCAGAAAAUACUGGAGCACAAACUAUAAUGGAAGAUUCAAUAAUAAAUUGUUAUUUAAAAUUGAAACUACUCACUCUAUAAUACAUCACAUAAAGCUAUUGAUUAAUAUAUAUCAUAAAAAGUUAUGGACAUUUAAACACUGUUUCACUAUCUCCAUUGCAGGGAUAGUGCUAUUGCUCUCUGUAAUCCUUAUGAUGAGGAAAGCAAUUCAAAUUUUUCUUAUGUAUUAGACAUAAUUUGGGAAGGAUCAUUGUUUUUGCUGGGUACAGCUGGCCAAGUAUAUUUCCGCAAUACAUCAACACCAAUAGUACUUAAUAUUCAUCACUCUUACAUGAAGGAUCACAUGCAUUUGGUUUUGACUUUUCUUCUAAUCAAACAAGCAGUUAUAACCUCAUAUCCAGGUUAUAUUGACUGUUAAUCUUAUGGAUUAUCUCUCAAUAAACAUGCAAAGUUCUGAUCAAUAUCUAAUGGCUGAAUAAUAGACUCAUAUCAGGCACAAAGGGCAGCCCCCAUGUAUUUAUAUUAUCCUAUUAUUCAACCAACAAUCAAAAUGACCUGGAUAGGAGGUUGUAACUGUUUGUUGAUUAUGAGAGGGAUUAACUCUAAAUGCUUG